rnacentral:rRNA from 1 species
GAGCCUCUUUAUGGGGUGACUGCGUACCUUUUGUAUAAUGGGUCAGCGACUUAUAUUCUGUAGCAAGGUUAACCGAAUAGGGGAGCCGAAGGGAAACCGAGUCUUAACUGGGCGUUAAGUUGCAGGGUAUAGACCCGAAACCCGGUGAUCUAGCCAUGGGCAGGUUGAAGGUUGGGUAACACUAACUGGAGGACCGAACCGACUAAUGUUGAAAAAUUAGCGGAUGACUUGUGGCUGGGGGUGAAAGGCCAAUCAAACCGGGAGAUAGCUGGUUCUCCCCGAAAGCUAUUUAGGUAGCGCCUCGUGAACUCAUCUCCGGGGGUAGAGCACUGUUUCGGCAAGGGGGUCAUCCCGACUUACCAACCCGAUGCAAACUGCGAAUACCGGAGAAUGUUAUCACGGGAGACACACGGCGGGUGCUAACGUCCGUCGUGAAGAGGGAAACAACCCAGACCGCCAGCUAAGGUCCCAAAGUCAUGGUUAAGUGGGAAACGAUGUGGGAAGGCCCAGACAGCCAGGAUGUUGGCUUAGAAGCAGCCAUCAUUUAAAGAAAGCGUAAUAGCUCACUGGUCGAGUCGGCCUGCGCGGAAGAUGUAACGGGGCUAAACCAUGCACCGAAGCUGCGGCAGCGACGCUUAUGCGUUGUUGGGUAGGGGAGCGUUCUGUAAGCCUGCGAAGGUGUACUGUGAGGUAUGCUGGAGGUAUCAGAAGUGCGAAUGCUGACAUAAGUAACGAUAAAGCGGGUGAAAAGCCCGCUCGCCGGAAGACCAAGGGUUCCUGUCCAACGUUAAUCGGGGCAGGGUGAGUCGACCCCUAAGGCGAGGCCGAAAGGCGUAGUCGAUGGGAAACAGGUUAAUAUUCCUGUACUUGGUGUUACUGCGAAGGGGGGACGGAGAAGGCUAUGUUGGCCGGGCGACGGUUGUCCCGGUUUAAGCGUGUAGGCUGGUUUUCCAGGCAAAUCCGGAAAAUCAAGGCUGAGGCGUGAUGACGAGGCACUACGGUGCUGAAGCAACAAAUGCCCUGCUUCCAGGAAAAGCCUCUAAGCAUCAGGUAACAUCAAAUCGUACCCCAAACCGACACAGGUGGUCAGGUAGAGAAUACCAAGGCGCUUGAGAGAACUCGGGUGAAGGAACUAGGCAAAAUGGUGCCGUAACUUCGGGAGAAGGCACGCUGAUACGUAGGUGAAGCGACUUGCUCGUGGAGCUGAAAUCAGUCGAAGAUACCAGCUGGCUGCAACUGUUUAUUAAAAACACAGCACUGUGCAAACACGAAAGUGGACGUAUACGGUGUGACGCCUGCCCGGUGCCGGAAGGUUAAUUGAUGGGGUUAGCGGUAACGCGAAGCUCUUGAUCGAAGCCCCGGUAAACGGCGGCCGUAACUAUAACGGUCCUAAGGUAGCGAAAUUCCUUGUCGGGUAAGUUCCGACCUGCACGAAUGGCGUAAUGAUGGCCAGGCUGUCUCCACCCGAGACUCAGUGAAAUUGAACUCGCUGUGAAGAUGCAGUGUACCCGCGGCAAGACGGAAAGACCCCGUGAACCUUUACUAUAGCUUGACACUGAACAUUGAGCCUUGAUGUGUAGGAUAGGUGGGAGGCUUUGAAGUGUGGACGCCAGUCUGCAUGGAGCCGACCUUGAAAUACCACCCUUUAAUGUUUGAUGUUCUAACGUUGGCCCGUUAUCCGGGUUGCGGACAGUGUCUGGUGGGUAGUUUGACUGGGGCGGUCUCCUCCUAAAGAGUAACGGAGGAGCACGAAGGUUGGCUAAUCCUGGUCGGACAUCAGGAGGUUAGUGCAAUGGCAUAAGCCAGCUUGACUGCGAGCGUGACGGCGCGAGCAGGUGCGAAAGCAGGUCAUAGUGAUCCGGUGGUUCUGAAUGGAAGGGCCAUCGCUCAACGGAUAAAAGGUACUCCGGGGAUAACAGGCUGAUACCGCCCAAGAGUUCAUAUCGACGGCGGUGUUUGGCACCUCGAUGUCGGCUCAUCACAUCCUGGGGCUGAAGUAGGUCCCAAGGGUAUGGCUGUUCGCCAUUUAAAGUGGUACGCGAGCUGGGUUUAGAACGUCGUGAGACAGUUCGGUCCCUAUCUGCCGUGGGCGCUGGAGAACUGAGGGGGGCUGCUCCUAGUACGAGAGGACCGGAGUGGACGCAUCACUGGUGUUCGGGUUGUCAUGCCAAUGGCACUGCCCGGUAGCUAAAUGCGGAAGAGAUAAGUGCUGAAAGCAUCUAAGCACGAAACUUGCCCCGAGAUGAGUUCUCCCUGACUCCUUGAGAGUCCUGAAGGAACGUUGAAGACGACGACGUUGAUAGGCCGGGUGUGUAAGCGCAGCGAUGCGUUGAGCUAACCGGUACUAAUGAACCGUGAGGCUUAACCUU